rnacentral:rRNA from 1 species
CUGACGAGCACGCCGCGUGAGUGAGACGGUUUUCGGAUCGUAAAGCUCUGUUGUAGGGGAAGAACGUGUGUAAGAGUGGAAAGCUUACACAGUGACGGUACUCUACCAGAAAGGGACGGCUAACUACGUGCCAGCAGCCGCGGUAAUACGUAGGUCCCGAGCGUUGUCCGGAUUUAUUGGGCGUAAAGGGAGCGCAGGCGGUUUAGUAAGUCUGAAGUUAAAGGCAUUGGCUCAACCAAUGUAUGCUUUGGAAACUGUUAGACUUGAGUGCAGAAGGGGAGAGUGGAAUUCCAUGUGUAGCGGUGAAAUGCGUAGAUAUAUGGAGGAACACCGGUGGCGAAAGCGGCUCUCUGGUCUGUCACUGACGCUGAGGCUCGAAAGCGUGGGUAGCGAACA